UGAGGAACAUGACCUUCGGCGGGGGGAUAGCCGGCCCAACGGCCGGGUAAUACCGCGUACGACCACAUGGGGACAUCCCUGAGUGGUGAAAGCAGCAAUGCGCCGAUGGAGUGCCUCGCGGCCUAUCAGCUAGUUGGUGAGGUAACGGCUCACCAAGGCAACGAUGCGUAGCCGACCUGAGGAGGGUGACUCGGCCACAGUUAGGAACUGAGACCACGGUCCAGACCUAGUACGGGGA
rnacentral:rRNA from 1 species